CUUAUAAAAGUUUUCUCGCUUGACAGUUCAAAUUAAGGGAGAAACUCCGAAGGAAUUGUAAUCAUGAAUCAAACAAAGAACAUGAUAUUCUUGCACAAUUUGCCGGAUUGCACCAGGGAAGAACUGGAAGCACAUUGCAGUCCGAUUGGAAAAAUUACUGGAUCUGUGGUUCUGGGACGACAAGGAUUUAUCGAGUUUGCCACUGACGAAAUGGCCGAAAUCGCAGAACUGUGGCUCUCCGGAUCCAUUUUCAAGUCAAAAAUGAUUUUUGUCUGCAAUGCAAGCUCGAGAUCGAAGGUAGCUGAUUCCCUUAAUAAGGAGUUUAAAUUGGAUGAAUGACUAAAAGGAGGUAGACGAGCAUUAGGUUUUUGAUGAAAGGCCAAAAGAAAAUACCGCUGAGGACAAAGAACGUAAAGACUUUGGGACCUCAAAUAAAUUCUAUACAAUACUGUGCACAAAUGCAAUUGGCAAUAAAAAAAUCAUUUGCUAUAGUU